UAAGUUAUUAAGGGCGCACGGUGGAUGCCUUGGCACUAGAAGCCGAUGAAGGACGUUACUAACGACGAUAUGCUUUGGGGAGCUGUAAGUAAGCUUUGAUCCAGAGAUUUCCGAAUGGGGAAACCCAGCAUGAGUUAUGUCAUGUUAUCGAUAUGUGAAUACAUAGCAUAUCAGAAGGCACACCCGGAGAACUGAAACAUCUUAGUACCCGGAGGAAGAGAAAGAAAAUUCGAUUCCCUUAGUAGCGGCGAGCGAAACGGGAAGAGCCCAAACCAACAAGCUUGCUUGUUGGGGUUGUAGGACACUCUAUACGGAGUUACAAAGGACGACAUUAGACGAAUCAUCUGGAAAGAUGAAUCAAAGAAGGUAAUAAUCCUGUAGUCGAAAAUGUUGUCUCUCUUGAGUGGAUCCUGAGUACGACGGAGCACGUGAAAUUCCGUCGGAAUCUGGGAGGACCAUCUCCUAAGGCUAAAUACUCUCUAGUGACCGAUAGUGAACCAGUACCGUGAGGGAAAGGUGAAAAGCACCCCGGAAGGGGAGUGAAAUAGAACCUGAAACCGUGUGCUUACAAGUAGUCAGAGCCCGUUAAUGGGUGAUGGCGUGCCUUUUGUAGAAUGAACCGGCGAGUUACGAUUUGAUGCAAGGUUAAGCAGUAAAUGUGGAGCCGUAGCGAAAGCGAGUCUGAAUAGGGCGUUUAGUAUUUGGUCGUAGACCCGAAACCAGGUGAUCUACCCUUGGUCAGGUUGAAGUUCAGGUAACACUGAAUGGAGGACCGAACCGACUUACGUUGAAAAGUGAGCGGAUGAACUGAGGGUAGCGGAGAAAUUCCAAUCGAACCUGGAGAUAGCUGGUUCUCUCCGAAAUAGCUUUAGGGCUAGCCUCAAGUGAUGAUUAUUGGAGGUAGAGCACUGUUUGGACGAGGGGCCCCUCUCGGGUUACCGAAUUCAGACAAACUCCGAAUGCCAAUUAAUUUAACUUGGGAGUCAGAACAUGGGUGAUAAGGUCCGUGUUCGAAAGGGAAACAGCCCAGACCACCAGCUAAGGUCCCAAAAUAUAUGUUAAGUGGAAAAGGAUGUGGCGUUGCCCAGACAACUAGGAUGUUGGCUUAGAAGCAGCCAUCAUUUAAAGAGUGCGUAAUAGCUCACUAGUCGAGUGACACUGCGCCGAAAAUGUACCGGGGCUAAACAUAUUACCGAAGCUGUGGAUUGUCCUUUGGACAAUGGUAGGAGAGCGUUCUAAGGGCGUUGAAGCAUGAUCGUAAGGACAUGUGGAGCGCUUAGAAGUGAGAAUGCCGGUGUGAGUAGCGAAAGACGGGUGAGAAUCCCGUCCACCGAUUGACUAAGGUUUCCAGAGGAAGGCUCGUCCGCUCUGGGUUAGUCGGGUCCUAAGCUGAGGCCGACAGGCGUAGGCGAUGGAUAACAGGUUGAUAUUCCUGUACCACCUAUAAUCGUUUUAAUCGAUGGGGGGACGCAGUAGGAUAGGCGAAGCGUGCGAUUGGAUUGCACGUCUAAGCAGUAAGGCUGAGUAUUAGGCAAAUCCGGUACUCGUUAAGGCUGAGCUGUGAUGAGGAGAAGACAUUGUGUCUUCGAGUCGUUGAUUUCACACUGCCGAGAAAAGCCUCUAGAUAGAAAAUAGGUGCCCGUACCGCAAACCGACACAGGUAGUCAAGAUGAGAAUUCUAAGGUGAGCGAGCGAACUCUCGUUAAGGAACUCGGCAAAAUGACCCCGUAACUUCGGGAGAAGGGGUGCUCUUUAGGGUUAACGCCCAGAAGAGCCGCAGUGAAUAGGCCCAAGCGACUGUUUAUCAAAAACACAGGUCUCUGCUAAACCGUAAGGUGAUGUAUAGGGGCUGACGCCUGCCCGGUGCUGGAAGGUUAAGAGGAGUGGUUAGCUUCUGCGAAGCUACGAAUCGAAGCCCCAGUAAACGGCGGCCGUAACUAUAACGGUCCUAAGGUAGCGAAAUUCCUUGUCGGGUAAGUUCCGACCCGCACGAAAGGCGUAACGAUUUGGGCACUGUCUCAACGAGAGACUCGGUGAAAUCAUAGUACCUGUGAAGAUGCAGGUUACCCGCGACAGGACGGAAAGACCCCGUGGAGCUUUACUGUAGCCUGAUAUUGAAAUUCGGCACAGCUUGUACAGGAUAGGUAGGAGCCUUUGAAACGUGAGCGCUAGCUUACGUGGAGGCGCUGGUGGGAUACUACCCUAGCUGUGUUGGCUUUCUAACCCGCACCACUUAUCGUGGUGGGAGACAGUGUCAGGCGGGCAGUUUGACUGGGGCGGUCGCCUCCUAAAAGGUAACGGAGGCGCUCAAAGGUUCCCUCAGAAUGGUUGGAAAUCAUUCAUAGAGUGUAAAGGCAUAAGGGAGCUUGACUGCGAGACCUACAAGUCGAGCAGGGUCGAAAGACGGACUUAGUGAUCCGGUGGUUCCGCAUGGAAGGGCCAUCGCUCAACGGAUAAAAGCUACCCCGGGGAUAACAGGCUUAUCUCCCCCAAGAGUUCACAUCGACGGGGAGGUUUGGCACCUCGAUGUCGGCUCAUCGCAUCCUGGGGCUGUAGUCGGUCCCAAGGGUUGGGCUGUUCGCCCAUUAAAGCGGUACGCGAGCUGGGUUCAGAACGUCGUGAGACAGUUCGGUCCCUAUCCGUCGUGGGCGUAGGAAAUUUGAGAGGAGCUGUCCUUAGUACGAGAGGACCGGGAUGGACAUACCUCUGGUGUACCAGUUGUCGUGCCAACGGCAUAGCUGGGUAGCUAUGUGUGGACGGGAUAAGUGCUGAAAGCAUCUAAGCAUGAAGCCCCCCUCAAGAUGAGAUUUCCCAACUUCGGUUAUAAGAUCCCUCAAAGAUGAUGAGGUUAAUAGGUUCGAGGUGGAAGCAUGGUGACAUGUGGAGCUGACGAAUACUAAUCGAUCGAAGACUUAAUCA
rnacentral:rRNA from 1 species